UACGUAGGGUGCAAGCGUUGUCCGGAAUUAUUGGGCGUAAAGAGCUCGUAGGCGGUCUGUCACGUCGGCUGUGAAAACCCGAGGCUCAACCUCGGGCCUGCAGUCGAUACGGGCAAACUAGAGUACUGCAGGGGAGACUGGAAUUCCUGGUGUAGCGGUGAAAUGCGCAGAUAUCAGGAGGAACACCGGUGGCGAAGGCGGGUCUCUGGGCAAUUCCUGACGCUGAGGCGCGAAAGCGUGGGGAGCAAACGGG
rnacentral:rRNA from 1 species